GACCGCGUAGCUCAGUUGGCAGAGCAUUGGGCUAGUAUUCCAAAGGUCGUAGGUUCGAUUCCCACUGUGGUCA
rnacentral:tRNA from 1 species